GCUUGCUGACGCAACUUUUAAAGUUGUGCCUUCAACUCCACCAAGCCGUCAACUUUUUAUUAUGCAUUUAAUAUACCAAAACCACUCCAUACCGAUUGUUUAUGCAUUGAUGGAAUCAAAGACUGAAGAGGCAUAUAUACUCUAUUAUUAAGCAAGUGCAAAGGAUUAUUUCCAUUUAUAAUGCCAGCAAAUAUAAUGACUGAUUUUGAAUCUGGGUUGCUGAAUGCUUUUAAAUCUGUUUAUCCAGAUGCAGAUCAGCAUUCUUGUUUUUCCAUUAUGCACUAGUCAAAAAUAUCAGAACAAGAGGAUUAACACACUUUGUUAAAUCUAAUUUGRAUGCACAAUUUUGUGUGCAGAUGUUUUGU